GAGACAAUGGCCAGACUCCAUAAGAACAGAACUGCAACGAACAACUCUUCCAGCAACCAGUCCAAGAAGGCAAGCUUCACCCUCUGCUACAGUUGGCCUUGAACUUCAAGACUUGACGAGGUGAGCGCAACAAAUUGGUGGCCCAUACGGGGACCCGAGGAUCUCAUGGAUUCAGAACUCUUCAGCUGAGGAACAACGGUACCAAUUUGCCUAUUAUCUGAGUUGGAAAUUGGUCGACUAAAGCGGAGCAGUUGUCCAGAAAGCUGCUCCUCCAGAUUGCCAGAUGCAACAGCACUCGACUGGACCCCGUCACCUUGGAGGACUUUACCUCCUGGAUCACCAAUGCCUUCUCAUUUUUUAAGGAAUGGGCGGGAAUGUUGGCCUGGGGGGCAGUGGUCCUCCUGGGUUGUGUCUUUUGUAUCUGGCUAUUAUGUCGAUUCAAACGAGAGCACGCUCAGUAUAAGGCAGUGGUGUACCAAGCAUUGAUGGUGAUUAAAGAUGGUGCAUCUCCGAAUGUUUGGCUGGCCUCUUUAAAAAAUUAAGAGUUCGCCCUAGGUCGUCUGGCAGUUGUAGUCACACAGAUCCAUGGUAUCUAGUGACAGGCAACUUUCCUUAUGCACAGACCAACCUAAGACACGGGGCCUGGAGGCGAUAGGGUAACCCUAGAACAGGUAAGGCUGUGACAUGAAAGGAUCGACCUAAGACAGGAGCCGUGGCCGAUGGACAGACUUGCCCAGACCUAGUCUAGCAUCAUAUUAUUAAACAAAAAAGGGGGAGAUGUAGGCAGCCAACACCUAAAAGAUGGUGCCGGUCUCUGGUACACCGUCGCUGUAAACAACAACAAUGCCACUGCGCAGGCGCUAGCCCGAAUCUGGCGCCAACCCCUCCUGAGCGGGUGCAUGUAAAUUAAAGUGCCAGCAGACAGACCAACCCCAGGAGGACAUAUAGCCCUUCCCAGUGCUGGGGUGUAUAUAAGCAGUCCUCCCUGGGUUCCCGGGGUUCCGUUCCUGCAAUAAAGCUGUUGAGAAGAA